CUUCUUUCGUACAGCACCCUGAAUGAUAGAAAGAAACAACAAAAGUUCUCGUGUUUAAACAAGUUUUGUUUUGAGCUAUAUCAUGGCUGCUUGUGAAGUAUUAUUUUGCGUGUUCUAUUUAAUUCAGUGAUCUGUAGCCUAAUUAAAGUUUAAAUUAUUGAAGCACGCAUUUUUAAAUAAGUAAAACGUAAAAUAAAAGUUUGCUAAAGCCAAAAUAUGGAAUUGAAGAGGGUGAUACAGUAAUAAUUCAAUGCAUUGUCAAUUCGAAGCACGCAAUAGAAGCUACGCCAACAGUGGUCAACAUCAAGGGCGAAACCAUUGAAUACAUAUUUCAAACCUCAUACUGCGCGUUAAAAGUACGCAACGUAAUUGGUGCCACUUAUAGUAGCAUCGUAGAACUUUCGAAUCGAUGGAAUAUGUGCUGCAAGCAAAUUCAGAACUAUGGAUGCAAACGCUGCUAAAUGGAACAUAAAUCAUGGGAAAACUUUAGUAUACCGUCCCACGAUUUCGGGGUUAAAAUGAAUAUGGGCGGAUAGAGGAAUAAUAUAAUAUAAUUAUUGCCGCCGCAAACUUAUAGUUUCUGAGAUAUUUGCAAUUAAAGAUUUAAAAUUAACAAUUUUCAACACGUUAUUUCUCACUAUAUACUGAAUUUUUCUCAUAUAUUUUGCACUUUAAAUAUAUUUACGUUUCACUAAUUUGUUUUUGCAUAUUUAUUUUUAACAAAUUAUAUCAAAAUUUGCUGUAAAUAAACAUUUAACUUUUUGCACAAUUAUGUUUACUUGUACAAUAACAAAAGGGUUGCAAGAUGACAGAACAUAAGUGUUGCCACAUGCAAUCGAAUAAAAAUAAUCAAAAUUAAUAAAAUCCCCAAAAUGAAGAAAAUAAAUACCCUAUAAAUAGUUAUUAAGUAAACACCCCCAACACAGGGGAUUAUCAAAGUAGUAUAAUAACAAGUUCUUCCGCGUAGAACUACUUUCUGCAGAGGGGGCCUUCGGCCGCGCUUCAAAAAAAGAACCCUGGUCGAGCCAACACCGGGGAUUAUCAAAGUGGUAGAAUAACAAGUUCUUCCGCGUAGAACUACUUUUUGCAGAGACGGCCUUCGGCCGCGCUUAAAAAUAAUAACCCUGGUCGAGUCAAAACCGGGGAUUAUCAAAGUGGUUGAAUAACAAGUUCUUCCGCGUAGAACUACUUUCUGCAGAGGCGGCCUUCGGCAUCGCUUCAAAAAAAUAACCCUGGUCGAGCCAACACCGGGAAUUAUCAAAGUGGUGGAAUAACAAGUUCUUCCGCGUAGAACUACUUUGCUUAUUAUAUUUGGGAUAUAAUCUUUCUUUUUCAUUAUUGUGAUUCUUAUAAUUCGUUUACAAAAUAUGUGAUAUGGUAACACUUAUUUUGUGUCAGAAUGCAACCCUUUUUUAUUAUACAAAUAAAGAUAAUUGUGCACAAACUUAAAUGUUUAUUUACAGCAAAUUUUGAUAUAAUUUGUUAAAAAUAAAUAUGUAAAAACAAAUUAGUGAAGCGUAAAUAUAUUUAAAGUGCAAAAUAUAUGUGAAAAAUUCAAUAUGCUGUGAGAAAUAACGUGUUGAAAAGUGUUAAUUUUAAAUCUUUAAUGGCAAAUAUCUCAAAAACUAUAAGUUUGCGCAGGCAAUAAUUAUAUAUAUUCGUAAUCUGGAGAUCCUCCUCUAUCCGCCCAUAGUCAUUUAAAAAAAUUCUUAUUCUUAUAUGUUUAAUUAGGAGGACUUUUUUGAUUCAUUUUCACCUUGUAUUGAGGAAUCAUAACAUUGUUGUAUCGCUUUGCAAGGACAUAAAUUCACCGAAAUUAGUUCAAUGGAAAUACUACAGCGAGAGCAUGGAUGUUAAGACUAGAACGUUGCCAGUGCUAGAUUUAGAAUUCCUGAAACAUAAGAAACCCACCCCCAGAAAAUGGACGAAUCUAGUACUAAUGAAA